rnacentral:lncRNA from 1 species
CUCAGGGAGAGAUGGACAGAUUUUCAUUAAAUUGCUUAAUUAUGUUUAUAUAAAAAGCACCUGGUUUCUUCUCAUUUUAAAGUGACUGUCUGACCUAGCAAUGCCUUGACUAAGUAAAGCAAUGACUGAGGAGAAAAUUGUAGAUGCCAAGGUUGGGGGGGGACCCUUUUGUUUCUUUCAGAUGAGAAAUUUAUCUGAAGGAACACUGCAAGAUGUUACACUGCAGAAUACCCAGUGA